rnacentral:rRNA from 1 species
UACCAGCACCCCGAGUGGUCGGGACGAUUAUUGGGCCUAAAGCAUCCGUAGCCGGUUUUACAAGUCCUCCGUUAAAUCCAGCUGCUUAACAGAUGGGCUGCGGAGGAUACUAUAAGACUAGGAGGCAGGAGAGGCAAGCGGUACUCAGUGGGUAGGGGUAAAAUCCGUUGAUCCAUUGAAGACCACCAGUGGCGAAGGCGGCUUGCCAGAAUGCGCUCGACGGUGAGGGAUGAAGCUGGGGGAGCAAACCGG